rnacentral:rRNA from 1 species
UAGGGAAUCUUCGGCAAUGGGGGCAACCCUGACCGAGCAACGCCGCGUGAGUGAAGAAGGUUUUCGGAUCGUAAAGCUCUGUUGUAAGAGAAGAACGUGUGUGAGAGUGGAAAGUUCACACAGUGACGGUAACUUACCAGAAAGGGACGGCUAACUACGUGCCAGCAGCCGCGGUAAUACGUAGGUCCCGAGCGUUGUCCGGAUUUAUUGGGCGUAAAGCGAGCGCAGGCGGUUUAAUAAGUCUGAAGUUAAAGGCAGUGGCUUAACCAUUGUUCGCUUUGGAAACUGUUAAACUUGAGUGCAGAAGGAGAGAGUGGAAGUCCAUGUGUAGCGGUGAAAUGCGUAGAUAUAUGGAGGAACACCGGUGGCGAAAGCGGCUCUCUGGUCUGUAACUGACGCUGAGGCUCGAAAGCGUGGGGAGCAAACAGG